CUUAUAGCCUGUUGGUUCGGCUUAUGGAAAAUUGGGAAAAAAAAGGAGAUCGGAAAUCGAGUCGGCCCUCGUAAUUUUAGGUAGCUCAAGAGAAGGUUGACGAGAG